rnacentral:tRNA from 1 species
GCCACCUUAGCUCAGUUGGUAGAGCAGUCCCUUCGUAAGGGAAAGGUCAUCGGUUCAAAUCCGAUAGGUGGCUCCA